rnacentral:lncRNA from 1 species
UUUAUACCAAAAUUCAUAAUUUUUUUUUCUCUACAAAUAGAGACUUGGUUCGUUUGAUUUGGACACAGAAAAAAAAACCCAAUUUUUCACUACCUUAAUCUCAUUUUUCACUACCUUACAUCAACUCACGAAACCAUUCUACCAGGAAAAUGAUUUCAGAGUACAAAUCUCUGAAACCAUUCUACCAGCUAAAUGGUUUCAGAAGCAAACACAAUUAAUAAAUUACUCACUGAAACCAUUCUACCAGUAAAAUAGUUUCAGAGUACAACUAUGUGCAACCAUUCNNN